UACGAGAGGUCCAAACGUUAUUCGGAAUCACUGGGCUUACAGAGUUCGUAGGCGGUUCUACAAGUGGGGUGUGAAAGCCCUCGGCUCAACCGAGGAAUUGCGCUCCAAACUGUAGAACUAGAGGAAGAUAGAGGUGAGCGGAACUGAUGGUGGAGCGGUGAAAUGCGUUGAUAUCAUCAGGAACACCGGAGGCGAAGGCGGCUCACUGGGUCUUUUCUGACGCUGAGGAACGAAAGCUAGGGGAGCAAACGGG
rnacentral:rRNA from 1 species